UGGUCUUCGUUGCUUCAGUGUAGAGCCAGU
rnacentral:piRNA from 1 species